CUACUAAAACUUUGACAGUAACACAACUACUCGGCAAGAGAACCUGGUUUUGUUUAACGAAUUUUGAAAACAGAAGAAGAGCAACUUUUCUUUUCAUUUCUUACGCAAAUAUUAUGUGUCACUUUACUGAAUUCAUCCAUUUUCUCUUCACUUUUUCACUUCCUAAAUUUUAGUAUCCUGAUUCGUUGGGAAUUUUAAACCUCCUUUUCAGUUCCUUGUCUGCAAAGGGUUGCGUCUGUAGAAGAAGAAUAUAAAGCUGUUGGAGGUGAAGUGCUACUUGAUAGUGAAGAUAACGAUGGUUGGCUGGCAACUCAUGGGAAACCAAAAGAAAAUAAACAUGACGAGGAUGAUGACUUGCCUUCCAUGGAGACCCUAGAAAUCAGUCAGAAAAAUCCUAUUCAAUCAAUUCCCUCAUACUUUGGGGGUGAGGAGGAAGAAGAUAUUUCAGACAUGGUUGAGUAUGAUGAACCUGAUAACCUUAUUGAAACGGAUCCUGCGACACUUCAGUCUACAUAUCUUGUGGCUCAGGAACUUGAUGAGGAUAAUAUUCUUCGAACCCGCACUUAUGACAUGAGCAUCAUGUAUGAUAAAUAUUAUCAAACGCCUAGAGUAUGGCUUACUGGAUAUGACGAGUCAAAGAUGCUUUUGCAGCCUGAACUUGUACUUGAAGAUGUUAGUCAAGACCAUGCACACAAAACGGUAACCAUUGAAGAUCAUUCUCACUUGCCUGGGAAUCUGUUCAUCCAUAUCGACAUGGAGCCUUGAUGAAAAAAAUUAUCGAUGUUCUAAUGUCACGUGGGGUUGAGCCAGAAGUUGACAAAUGGGGAAGCUACAGAUUUCGUGAAAAAACCAAGCAACAUAUCCUUACUCCUUAGUAUCUACAAUCGUUCAACUAUACAACAUCCUCAUCCUUUGUAAAUGACAUCCAAAUGAAACUUUUAAUUUAAUAACUUAUGCUAGACUGAGCAGUUGUUGAAUUUGUAUUGUAAGUAGUGUUGUGAAGUUCCUGUAUGCUAAAACGGAGGAAAUCACCUUAUAUGUCGUAAUAAGCACCUCCCCCGCCCGCCCGCCCUCUCGUACGUGUUUAUUGUCAUGAUUUGAUCUACGUGUGGGGAAAUUGUCAGCUGGUAACAGGCCACAAUGUAGGCAUAUGUCAGUUGCAUGCCUUUUUUUAUUAUUAGUGGAAAGUGGAAUUCUCUCCAAUAGAAUUUUUGGAUAACUUCUAAUAUCUAAACCCGCUUUUCCUACAAAAAAAAAAAAUUGGGCGGAUGGAUUUUAUGGUUGAUAAGAUGUUAUUAUAAUUGAGAAAUGAUAUUUGUAGUCGUGUAUUGUGCACGUGUUACGUAAUCUUUUUGAAAAAAAUGAAUAAAUAUAAGAUUUAUAUAAAAAAUAAUUAAAUUUUUUAAUAAUAGAUCUCAUUUUUUUUUUCAAAACGAUUGCGUGACGCUUAUACAUUUUAAGACUGUAUAUAAUAUUACUUGUGUGUAUGCAAUGAAUGUACAGUCUUAUAAGUGAAGUGGUGAUGAUGCGGUAAGAUCUACUAUCAAUUUAUUUUAAAAUUAGAAAAUGAAAGUAGAAAAAGAGGUCGGGUUGUCAAAUCCAAAUAGUGAUGGAAAAUUUUACAAGCUAUACUUGCUUCCACUCUUACCUCACUAUGAGAUUGCAUUGUGCAUCAACUUUUUAAUUUUUUUUCUUUAAAAAAAUAAAGGAUGGUAUAAUAGUUAUUAAAGUGUCACAUUUUACACUAUGAGAUAAAAAUGUAAUUUGUAGAAGUACUCAGAUGAAGAAUGUCACCGUUGGAUUUAGAAUUGCACUUGGUUUUUACAUUUGGAAGUGGAGGGGUCUAAUGUGAUUUAUAUAAGUUGUAAUUAGAAAUGCUACGGCUAUUUCAGAAAAAUAAAUUUAUAAAUUGAUAUAACUUUAUAUGAUAUAUUAAAUUUUUUUUAUACCAAAAGAAUUUUUUUUUUUUUUUUUAUUGAUAUGGAGAUUUGGAGAGGGGAUCGAACCCCCAACCUCACUUUUGGAGGUGGGGCUUCAUGCCAUCAGGCCGUUGGCCUUUGUUUCGGAAUUAAUCUAUGGAAGAGCCAUUGUUUCGGUGCAUCCAUUGCACACAUGAUGUGGUCUAGUAAAUUGACCAAUUUGCCCCUGCAGCUGUGCGUUCCCUAUCAAAUUUCAUUUCACCCAUUUUCUAUACGAAACAAAGCUUCAUCUGCACUCUCCCCCAACCCCCACCGCGGCACUUAGCCCUUAGUCCACCGAAUCUCUUCACAGUUUCAUCUUUCGAUUUCCCCUCACCUCGUCCGAUUUCCCACCUUGUCUAUGUUCUCCUCUCUGCCCAGAAUCUCUUCACAGCUUCAUCUUUCUUCUUCUUGGUUGGGUACCCUUCAAUUUCGUCUGCAGGGAUCUUGGUAUAGAGCUUGAUGGGGAAUAGGGAAGAAAACACAUAUGCCAACCUACCAAUAUGAAAGGCAAAUAAACUCAAGACCAAGCUAGAUUGGAAAUUAUUUUGUUGUGAUUUGUGCUGUAAUUAUUUUGUAUUUGAAAAACAAUAAUGUAUGUCAGUCAGUGCUAAGAUAUGGAUAUUAGGUCAUUUGUAAUGUUGUAAUAUUUGUAAGACAUCUUGGAAUGUAACUUUGAAUGUUACUUACAAAAACAUGUUUAUACCGUAAUUGUUUACUUUGCAUUC